GGGAGGCUCGGUCCAAGGGGUUUGGGAUGAGUCUUUCUUCUCUUGCGUCAGGUUAAACAGUACCGGUGCUGGUGAAGGAACUGUGAAUUUGGGGCAGAAGGUCCCAGAGGGCUGAUCACACAGGUCCAUUUCCACAGUUAGCACACCAAACUGAAACGCAUAGGCUCUCAGUUACGGGCACGGCACAGCGAUUUGCCAGUAUGUCUGCUGAGCAGCUGGAGCUGGCAUCAGCUGCCAAGGGCCUUGGUGGAGUUUGUUUUCAUGUGGGAGAACUGUGAGCUUCCUGGUGAGCAGGAGCAGGCAGAAGUGAAGGAAGAGGAGAAGAUGAAAAUAUGCCAAAGAAAGAAGUGUCUUAACAUGUUCCCCCCAAAGAACAGGUAGCGUUCCCUCAGUUAGUCCGGACGGACUUCAGCUACUUGAUGUGUAAGUAUUUUCUUCACCAGAACACUCACUACCUCAGUCAGCUGUCUACUGAUGGGCAUACCUUCCUGUGUGCUAAAGAGAAAGGGAGAGCCAGGGAAAAUCACAGGGUUGCUAGACCUGGGAAGAAGGAUGAGGUGUUACUGUGUCAUGUCCCAGUAAGCCACUGUGAACCAGCUACAACGUGAACUCGGCUGAGGAAGCUGUGAAGCAAUUCUUGAUCCAACUGUUUAAGCACAACCUAAAUCCCUUCAGACAUUAGAGCCAGUUACUUUCUCAGUUCAUGAUUCAGCUUUCUUUACAAAUUCUGGCAGCAUACAUAUGCCAGUGCACAUUGCCAGUGCAGACAUGGCAUUUUCAGAUUCUUACACCGGUAUUUCGUAAUAGCUUUCUGGUAAUAGAUAAUUAUUGAAAUUUCCUUUAAAAGGGUUUGCCUACCUCUAAGAAAUUAGUGUGAAAUAAGUUGUUAUGUGAAUGCAAAUGCUGCAGGUAUCCUGAAAUUGCUCCCGACAUGGAAACAUUUACAUGCCAGGCAACCAGGUAAACUGUCAGAUACUGCUUUUUCAAGAGGCUGUUGAACAUCACUGAUUCAGUUUUAAAUACUGAGUAAUUCCAGACUAAUUUUACAAAAGUAGCUACUUAUUUUAGAAAGGAAAAGAAAAUUCCUCCUAGUUUAAGACAAACGAUGAGGAAAAGUGUCUGUGCAAGGAAUAAUUCUGGAGUAGUUAGAACAAGCCCUUCAUUUUUUACAUGACCACUUCACGUUUUUCACUGGCCACCUGUUAAGCGCUGAUCUGAUUGUAAAAUAAGGCAAUGUUUCAAGGCCUUCCAUAUAACAGAUUUUAUCUAAAUCCCAAACUUCUUUACUGAGACUCUUCCUACGACAUUCAUCAAGUUGCUGAUUCACUUGCAGCAAAGCAAGCACUUGUUCAGCUUAAGAUGUUACAGUCCUGCCUGCCAACCUGCUAGAGGUUCUCCUCUGUUCCAGAGUCAGCAGAGCCAACCUGUGCCUCAGCCAGUGCAGUUCAAAGUCUGUCAGCUUAGCAACCACCUACCAUUAUUAUGCCUUAAGCAAAAAUAUCCGAAUGUGAAAUGGGGAGGCGGAGGACAGACACAUACUCCUUCUGCCACCUUAUAAAAGAGUGGUAAUACCUUAAACAUUAAAAGCAGAUUUGCCAGUGCUUGUCUGUCAAAAGGCCUCCAGACAACAUGCACCUUUUAGGAAUUCUCCCAAAGUGCUAAAGGCAAGACUAUAAUCAUCCUUCUGUUAGAGCCUAGAGAAUGAAAUGUGAUCCUCUACGCCUCUUUCCCUUACCUUUUUGGAAAGUAACUUCAAACACCAUGAGCUUAUAUAUGCAUGUAAAAGAUUAUAAGACUGACUGUUAUUCAGCUAUUCUCUCUAUUGUAUCUGCGUUCCAGUUUUACCUUAUUUCUUUCUCUGUACAUUUGAUUCCCAAAUUACUAUAAUGUUAUUUUUAAUAUGAGCUUUAUAUAUAUUUGUCAUAUGGACAGAGUAUCUUGAUGAAGCUGUGUUACAGAACUGAAAGCAUCUUCCUUUCUGUAGUUAACUCUGUUACGUCUCCGCUUUGUAAUAUGGUAUGCACAAAUGCCUUCUCACUGGAAACGCGCAUCUGAUUCCAACACUGUAAUAAAUGUCCUUACCACUG
rnacentral:lncRNA from 7 species